rnacentral:rRNA from 1 species
AUACGGAGGGUGCAAGCGUUACUCGGAAUCACUGGGCGGAAAGCGCGCGCAGGCGGCCAUUUAAGUUGGAUGUGAAAGCCUACGGCUCAACCGUAUAACUGCAUCCAAAACUAUUUGGCUAGGGUGUGGGAGAGGAAGAUGGAAUUAGUUGUGUAGGGGUAAAAUCCGUAGAGAUAAAUAGGAAUACCAAAAGCGAAGGCAAUCUUCUGGAACACUACUGACGCUGAGGCGCGAAAGCGUGGGGAGCAAACGGGAUUAGAAACCCUAGUAGUCC